rnacentral:tmRNA from 1 species
GGGGGCGAUCGGUUUCGACUCACCGGCUGUCAUGGCCGAGGUCGCGUGCCGAGGUGGUCCGGAGGCCUCGUAAAACACCGGACACAAUGAUACGUGCCAAAACAAUGGUUAACGGGGUUGCACCGGUUGUGCCGAUUCGGCCGGCCAUGCUCCCCAUGGCACUGGCUGCCUAACUAGGCAGCCCGUCUCGCCGCGAACGCCGGCUACGCGGAUGAGGCGCCGACAGCCGGCUGGUCACCGCCUGGUAUCUCUGGGGGCUGUGGCGAGGAGACCAACCAGGGAGUAACCGGGCCGUCGGGCCUGUCCUUGGGCAUCGGCUCAGUGAGCACCACAAACAGGGACUACGCACGUAGUGGCGCGGUUGUGGGUCGUGAGGACGCGGGGUUCGAUCCCCCGCCGCCUCCACCA